GCGAGUGACAGUCGACGUGCUGUACUCCGUCGAGUAUUCGUGUUUCUCGUUGUAAAUUCGGCAUAUCGCGUUAUAUUUUAUUGAAUUUAGUGUUAAUUGCCGUGUUUGGACAUUCGGUAAAUAUUUAUCGCGUAUGUAAUCUUCGGAAUUCAAUAUUUUGUGUGUUUAUUACAUUUUCACGUGGAUUUCUGAUCGGUUGUCGUCGGACGCCGGUCGGCAGACUCCCUGACUCACUGUGUGUGAUUAUAAGUAAUAUUUUGGACUUGUGCGAACCAUUUUUGACUUCUGCACAACUCAUUGGCUCAAUGUGUUACCUGGUACGAAUACUAAUUUAAAUAAUUAUGGAGAACAAGACGAAAUUUAUGUAUCUACUCACAAUUGAUUUGCGGUGUUCGACUUACCAGUUUACAGCACUCGUUGGCCCUGGCAGUUCAAUAAACUGUACACUGUUACAGCACUCGUUGGCCCUGCCAGUUCAAUAAACUGUACACUGUAUUCGCCGUACCCUUCUACCGCUACCUUUGUACGGUGCCUUGAAGGGCCUUGAAUGGGAGUCACUUCUACCGCUACCUGCGCUCGGUGCCCUAAAUGGGAGUCUUUAUGGAUCCUUUGUUGGAUGAAGCAUUAGCUUAUCCUGAGAUGGCCAAGGAUAAGGAUCAACUGGAGAAGUUCCGUGGUACUGGUGGACGUUUUGAUUACUGAAGACGGAUGUGUCAACUGGACAAAAGUUUCAAGAACUGUCCAAGAAAUUGAAGAUUGGAUUGCCGGUGUUGAUGAUGAUUCCAAAUACGAUUGAAUGAAUUUACAACAUUUGGAUGCUGUUAUUGAUAUCAUUUUUGUUUAUUUUGUUAAAAGUUAUAAAAAGAGCAUUAUGUAAUUGCAUAUUAUUACCCUGUUUUCAUAUUGUUAAUAAUGCUGUACAUAUUUAGAAAAUGAGUUGGCUGUGUAUAUUCUUCAUGUUUUAAUAAAAUUGUUGUUUUAUAUUUUUAACUAUAAA